rnacentral:tRNA from 1 species
GGGGUUGUGGCUCAGUGGUAGAGCAUUUGCCUCACAUGCAUGAGGCACUGAGUUCAAUCCUCAGCACCA